GCUGGGCAUGGUGGCGCAUGCCUGUAGUCCCAGCUACUCUGGAGGCUGAGGCGGGAGAAUUGCUUGAACCCGGGAGGCAGAGGUUGCAGUGAGCCAAGAUCGCACCACUGCACUCCAUCCUGGGUGACAGAGUGAGACUCCAUCUCAA
rnacentral:SRP_RNA from 1 species